rnacentral:rRNA from 1 species
AACGAACGCUGGCGGCAGGCCUAACACAUGCAAGUCGAGCGAAGCCUUCGGGCUUAGCGGCGGACGGGUGAGUAACGCGUGGGAACGUGCCCUUUGGUACGGAAUAGCCCCGGGAAACUGGGAGUAAUACCGUAUGUGGUCGAGAGACGAAAGAUUUAUCGCCAAAGGAUCGGCCCGCGUUGGAUUAGGUAGUUGGUGGGGUAAUGGCCUACCAAGGCGACGAUCAGUAGCUGGUCUGAGAGGAUGAUCAGCCACAUUGGGACUGAGACACGGCCCAAACUCCUACGGGAGGCAGCAGUGGGGAAUAUUGGACAAUGGGCGCAAGCCUGAUCCAGCCAUGCCGCGUGAGUGAUGAAGGCCUUAGGGUUGUAAAGCUCUUUCGGCGGGACGAUAAUGACGGUACCCGCAGAAGAAGCCCCGGCUAACUUCGUGCCAGCAGCCGCCGUAAGAC